UACGUAGGCAGCGAGCGUUGUUCGGAAUUACUGGGCGUAAAGGGUGUGUAGGCGGUUCUCUAAGUUUGGUGUGAAAUCUCCCGGCUUAACCGGGAGGGUGCGCCGAAAACUGGGGGACUAGAGUGCGGGAAGGGAGAGUGGAAUUCCUGGUGUAGCGGUGAAAUGCGUAGAUAUCAGGAGGAACACCGGUGGUGUAGACGGCUCUCUGGACCGUAACUGACGCUGAGACACGAAAGCGUGGGUAGCAAACAGG
rnacentral:rRNA from 1 species